UUGCAGUCGUGUCUUCCGUUGUGGUUAUGUCCUCACACAUUAUAACCAAUAGAAUGCAGUUUUACUUCUUCCAAUCAAAGUGCGUUGUGAUCGUGUCUUCUGCGUGUCACUUCCCAACUAGGGGAGGGAUGCAAAGCAAAAGUGUAAAAAGAUCGUUAAGAUUUCCGCGCUCGAAGUUUGAGAAUUUCGUGGGCUAUCCUUGACACCUUUUGGGACGCUUCGGAUUGGUGAAAGAGUAAGAUUCUGGUUGCGUUUUUAAGUGCGAGGUAUUUGGGAAAUUUCCUUCCAUACGUUGGAAAGCCUUGGAAGACGAGAAUUUGACAUUGCCUCAUGGCUUUCCUUACUUUUCUGUUGGAGCUAGUACAAUAAGGCAUGGAUGAGAACCAGCAGCAAAGCAAAGUAAACAAAAGUGCAGAUGAAAGCCACUUGAGUCUGUAAAUGGAAAGAAAACACUGAAAAAUGGUGAAAAUAACAGUCAACUUGAGCAGGAAAACUCCAAUCAGCCUAGAGGGGCCAGAAAAUAAUUGUGCUUAGAAAUAACAGUUACCUCCAGCUGAAAAUCAAAAAUGACAGAACAGCUUGC